AGCCACAUUUGCUGCCUUUCUGGGAGAGUUAGAAGCAAGCCACGUGGGUGACUUCUUUUCAAAGUUCUCUGCCUCAGAGGAGGAAGCCCCAUGGGUGGAGGCCAGGCCCGAGGCCAUCCUGCUCUGGGCCAGAGCGUGCCUGUGUCUGAUGAGCGAGGACAUGCCUCGUCUGGCUGAGCCUUCCAUUUCACACCGGCAGCUCGAACCCCCCAUCACGGCUUCCUUUUGGGCUCCCCUCCUCAGGGGACCGAGCUUGAAAUGUGCUUGCCCUUCAUCCCUAAGGCCUGCGUCCCUUCCUCAGAGAGGACUAAGCCCCUCUCCCAGUCUUGAUGUUCUCCGAGGCCCUUCUUAUUCACAGAACCUAUCUGGCUUAUUUAUUCGCUUGCUUGCUUCUGAUGUCUUCUCUUACUGAAAGGAAUCGAAGGGCCAAGGAAUGUGUUUUUCGUUGAUGUCAACUUGCUGCAAAGGACCACACCUGCUUCUCGACCCAGGAACGUGGGAAAGGGAAAGGCUUGGCUUGUUUUGGUGGAGAUGGAGAUGCUGGUAACAGUGGAGGAAUGCCCUCCUUCUGAUUCACAGUGGGGAGGUGCUCUGGGCCCCUGCCACUGCCCGAGGACUUCAGCUUUUGGUUGUCCUGCUGAGAGGAUGCGGCAUUUGAGCAGUAGCUUCUGGAGCCCAGAGUGAAGCCCCACCCAGGCACCCUGACAGGACCACAGGAAUGCUCCUGGCACAGCAAGCAGGACUCUUGAGAAGCUCAGCCUCCACGCUCCUUGUAGAUGUUCAGUUCAAACUCCACAGUUUGUGUGACUCACUGAAGGGCUUGGUUUGGCUCUCGCUGACGAGUCUGUCAUCGGUGCCAGACAACCGGGUUUCACCGUGUUAGCCAGGCUGGCCUCAAACUCCUGACCUCAAGUGAUCCACCCGCAUCGACCUCACAAAGUGCUUGGAUUACAGGUGUGAGCUACUGUGCCAGGCCAGAAAAAAUAAAAUAAAAUAAAAU